rnacentral:lncRNA from 1 species
AUGAUUCAGGCGGAAAUAAUUAGAGACCUGAUACUCCACCUGGACCAUGGGGCCAGAUGGGAUCCACCUGAGGGUUCUGAGAAAGGUGGCAGGUGUGAAGUGCUGAGACACUUUCCACCAUUUAUCAGUGGUCCUGGUCAACCAGAGAGCUCCCAGGAGCACCGUUUUGAUUUGUUUUCUUCAGUUGCAUGAUAAAGAAUAGUAGCUUUUGACAAAGAGGUGGCAGCAGAUGAACAUCUGUGGAGAAGCCAACAGCACCACAGAAGACACAGAAGUUUAUCUGACGUAAAGUAAAAGAGCAAUUCUGAUGGGGAAAUAUAGAAUGAGCAUAUGUCUGCUCCACAUGGAUACUAAACUUUGGAUGACAUUUUUCUUAAAAAAGAAAAACAUCUUUUAAUGUUUCCUCUUUUGCUGUGGACUAUCUGCUACGCUGUUUGUAAUAAUUUGCAAAUCAUCCUUCAGGCACCACUUAACCUAUCUAAAUGCAAAAAAAAAAAAAAAAAAAAAAUCUGGAAUACUAUCAAAGCACAUAUCAAAUAAAAAGAGCCAUUCUGCUUCA